GACGAACGCUGGCGGCGCGCCUAACACAUGCAAGUCGAACGGAGUUAGCGAGAAAGCUUGCUUUUUCAAUAACUUAGUGGCGGACGGGUGAGUAACACGUGAGCAACCUGCCUUUCAGAGGGGGAUAACGUUUGGAAACGAACGCUAAUACCGCAUAACAUCAUUAGAUGGCAUCGUCUGAUGAUCAAAGGAGCAAUCCGCUGAAAGAUGGGCUCGCGUCCGAUUAGAUAGUUGGUGAGGUAACGGCUCACCAAGUCGACGAUCGGUAGCCGGACUGAGAGGUUGAACGGCCACAUUGGGACUGAGACACGGCCCAGACUCCUACGGGAGGCAGCAGUGGGGAAUAUUGCACAAUGGGGGAAACCCUGAUGCAGCGACGCCGCGUGAGGGAAGAAGGUUUUCGGAUUGGUAAACUUCUUUUAAGAGGACGAUAAUGACGGUACCUCUUGAAUAAGCCACGGCUAACUACGUG
rnacentral:rRNA from 1 species